AAAAAAUAAGAGAAGGACAAAAUGAAUGAAGGAGGAGUCGAGGGAAGGAGGUGAUCCAGAAUGAGGAAGACGGCUUGCAGUAGACCUGGCACAGUUCGGACUAUGGUCUCCAGGACUGAGGCGCAACGUCUGAGGAGUGGAGAAAGAGGCUGACCAGGACUUGCAGGCUAAACAAAACAAAUGAGCACAUCAUUUUCAUUAGACUAAAAUCUGUGAAAGCAGGGACUGUUCAGGUCUGCUCAUCACUAUCUCCAGCCUCCAGUGGACACACAGUGAGCCCUCCAUCAACAUGUGCUGAACCAGUGAACUCCGUGAACAAAUGGGAGAUCAUCAUCCUACAAAGAAACUUAAUUCUCAAGCCUCAUGUCCCUGUUUUUAGACCAUUUCUUCACUGGACCGUCACAAAAUAUUUGUUUUAUAGAUGAAUCCGUGAUAAAGAAGACCAUCACCCAAAAUAAAGACUCCUCCA